CCUACGGGAGGCAGCAGUGAGGAAUAUUGGUCAAUGGCCGGAAGGCUGAACCAGCCAUGCCGCGUGAAGGUCAGUGCCCUUUGGGCGUUAAACUUCUUUUGUGCGGGAGCAAUAAUGGUCACGUGUGGCCAGACGAGAGUACCGUACGAAUAAGCAUCGGCUAACUCCGUUCCAGCAGCCGCGGUAAUACGGGGGAUGCAAGCGUUAUCCGGAUUUAUUGGGGUUAAAGGGGGCGUAGGCUGUGAGGUAAGUCAGCGGUGAAAUGCCCCGGCUCAACGGGGUGAAGUGCUAUGGAUACUGCCUUGCUGGAAGGCGGAUGCCGUGGGAGGAAUGUGUGGUGUAGCGGUGAAAUGCAUAGAUAUCACACAGAACACCGAUUGCGAGGCAUCUCACGAAUCCGUGAUUGACGCUGAGGCACGAAAGCGUGGGUAUCAAACAGGAUUAGAUACCCUUGUAGUC
rnacentral:rRNA from 1 species